UACGUAGGGGGCAAGCGUUGUCCAGAUUCAUUGGGCGUAAAGAGCGUGUAGGCGGCCAGGUAGGUCGGUUGUGAAAACUGGAGGCUCAACCUUCAGAGGUCGACCGAAACCAUCUGGCUAGAGUCCGGGAGAGGAGAGUGGAAUUCCUGGUGUAGCGGUGAAAUGCGCAGAUAUCAGGAAGAACACCCGUGGCGAAAGCGGCUCUCUGGAACGGUACUGAUGCUGAGACGCGAAAGCGUGGGGAGCGAACAGG
rnacentral:rRNA from 1 species